AUAAUGGCCGAAAAUCUAAGGUUUCUUGGGGAAGGUUCGUCCGCCCAAGGUAAGCCGGGAGCUAAGGCGAGGCCGCAAGGCGUAGUCGAUGCACAUACGGUAAAGAUUCCGUAGCCGCCGAACUUUAAGUCAGAGGGACACUUGCAGAUAGCGGAACCCAGCCGUUGGUUGAGCUGGGCGAAAGGGACUGAAUUUAGUAGGGAAGUCCGCGAUGCUGAAAGGCGAGAAAAGCUCUGAUGAAUACUAAGGCGCCCGUACCGCAAACCGACACAGGUAGAUGAGGAGAGAAUCCUAAGGCCAACGGGAGAAGGGUUGUUAAGGAACUCGGCAAAUUGACCCCGUAACUUCGGAAGAAGGGGAGCCCCGAAAGGGGCCGCAGUGAAUAGGCCCAAGCAACUGUUUACCAAAAACACAGGUUUAUGCUAAAUCGAAAGAUGACGUAUAUGAGCUGACGCCUGCCCGGUGCCGGAAGGUUAAGAGGAGAGCUUAGAGCAAUCGAAGGUUUGAAUUGAAGCCCCGGUAAACGGCGGCCGUAACUAUAACGGUCCUAAGGUAGCGAAAUUCCUUGUCAGGUAAGUUCUGACCCGCACGAAUGGCGUAAUGAUUUGGGCACUGUCUCAACAGCCCGCCCGGCGAAAUUGUAGUACUGGUGAAGAUGCCAGUUACCCGCAACUAGACGGAAAGACCCCAUGGAGCUUUACUGCAGCUUAAUACUGAAAUUCGGUAGUACAUGUACAGGAUAGGUGGGAGACUGAGAAAUACAGGCGUCAGCUUGUAUGGAGUCGCUGUUGGGAUACCACUCUUGUACUGCUGGGUUUCUAACCUGCGGCCGUGAAUCCGGUCGGGGGACACUGUUAGGCGGGCAGUUUGACUGGGGCGGUCGCCUCCCAAAAGGUAACGGAGGCGCUCAAAGGUUCGUUCAGCACGGACGGAAAUCGUGCAAUGAGUGUAAACGCAUAAACGAGCCUAACUGCGACACCGACGGGUGGAGCAGUAACGAAAGUUGGAGUUAGUGAUCCGGUGGUAUGUGAGUGGAAAUGCCAUCGCUCAACGGAUAAAAGCUACCCUGGGGAUAACAGGCUGAUCUCCCCCAAGCGUCCACAGCGACGGGGAGGUUUGGCACCUCGAUGUCGGCUCGUCGCAUCCUGGGGCUGAAUUCGGUCCCAAGGGUUUGGCUGUUCGCCAAUUAAAGC
rnacentral:rRNA from 1 species